CAAUAGCAUAUAUUAAAGUUGUUGCAGUUAAAAAGCUCGUAGUUGGAUUUCUGGCAUGAUGCGCCUGGCCCGCCGUGAUUACGCGUGUGUGUGCUAGUGCGCGUCUGCCAUCCAUUGGCAGAAUAUGUCUACCCUUAAUUGGGCCGGAUAUGUGAUGUCAAUCUUUUACUUUGAAAAAAUUAGAGUGCUCAAAGCAGGCUUUUACGCCUGAAUAUUCGUGCAUGGAAUAAUAGAAUAGGAAGUCGUUUCUAUUUUGUUGGUUUUCGGAAAUCGACUUAAUGAUUAAUAGGGACAGUCGGGGGCAUUUGUAUUCAAACGACAGAGGUGAAAUUCUUGGACCGUUUGAAGACAAACUACUGCGAAAGCAUUUGCCAAGAAUGUUUUCAUUAAUCAAGAACGAAAGUUAGAGGUUCGAAGACGAUCAGAUACCAU
rnacentral:rRNA from 1 species